GACGAACGCUGGCGGCGUGCCUAACACAUGCAAGUCGAACGGAACUGUUUUGAAAGAUUUCUUCGGAAUGAAUUUGAUUUAGUUUAGUGGCGGACGGGUGAGUAACGCGUGAGUAACCUGCCUUCAAGAGGGGGAUAACAUUCUGAAAAGAAUGCUAAUACCGCAUGACAUAUCGGAACCACAUGAUUUUGAUAUCAAAGAUUUUAUCGCUUGAAGAUGGACUCGCGUCCGAUUAGUUAGUUGGUGAGGUAACGGCUCACCAAGACCGCGAUCGGUAGCCGGACUGAGAGGUUGAACGGCCACAUUGGGACUGAGACACGGCCCAGACUCCUACGGGAGGCAGCAGUGGGGGAUAUUGCGCAAUGGGGGCAACCCUGACGCAGCAACGCCGCGUGAAGGAUGAAGGUUUUCGGAUUGUAAACUUCUUUUAUUAAGGACGAAACUUGACGGUACUUAAUGAAUAAGCUC
rnacentral:rRNA from 1 species